CUAUCCUAACACUAGAUAGGGCACUUAUAAAGGGACGAGGCAGUCGUUUGGGUUUCAGCCAGCGUCUUUUUACCGCACCGAGAGGACGCUGAAGGAAGACCUUGCGCUUUUGCGUUUUUCCCCCUCUAUCUUUACAUUUUUCUAUUUUAUUUUAUUUAUUUAUUUAUUUUUUUUAAAUGAACAGCGACAGAUCCUCAGGUAUAUUUGUCGUACUGGACUCAUAUGAGGAAAACUUCUUCCAAAGCAGAAUUCAAAGCAAAGGAUCUAUAUGUAUUUUUUUUGGAUCGAAUCCCACAGGAGGAGUUGAUUUCCAGUUCAAGUCCACUUAGGCUACAUGUUAGUGCCCUGAAUGACUGUGUGAUGUGUAAACCUUCAAAGCCAUACAGUGACAGAUGGGAGAAAUGAAGGAAGACGUUUCAGCCGGUAAUGAUGAGCAGCUCGUCUUCACACCACUAGGGUUCGAGAGAAGAUGCUGGAUGCUGUAUUAGACCCGGUGGGCUUGUGUAGCUUCUCCACUCGGGGUCGUCACCCACCCGUUUCAUGCAUUCACUCCGACAUCGAGCCACAGAGAGGACAUUACGAUAGGAAGUCCUGUGUGGACUCUUAAAGCUGCGGAUUUGGAGGAAAAUGUGUGGUGCUGUAUCCGCCACCAGGACGCUUCUUUACAAUGAUGGGACCGCGCACUCAGCCACAGCCAGAGGCGAGUAUGACUCCACCACAGCGCCCAUCCAACCCUGGUGACAGGCCGCCUGCUGAAACGGUUAAAAAGACCAGCAUCGGAAACACUGGACUGAUUCUGGACAGCUCGGCGCUGAAGAUGGCCGAUGUGGACUCGGAGGUUCCUCCUCUCCCACCGCGCUACCGCUUCAGAGACCUGCUUUUGGGGGAUCAGUCGUUUCAGAAUGACGACAGGGUGCAGGUGGAGUUCUAUGUGAAUGAGAACACAUUUAAAGAGCGGUUGAAGCUCUUCUUCAUCAAAAACCAAAGGUCAAGCCUCAGAAUACGCCUUUUCAACCUCUCGCUGAAGUUGUUAACGUGUCUCCUCUACAUCCUCCGAGUAUCACUGGAUGACCCCACCACCCAAGUCACAUGUGAACGGAAGCACUGCUCCAAUGUCACUGAUGCUCUGUGCAGUAAAAUCUGUUCCAAUCAGACGACAGAUCCCAUCCAGAUCAACUGGGAGUUGAUAUUCUGGGUGACCAGAAGGACUCCUGUAUGGGCUAUACAGGUGACAGUGGCCUUAAUUAGCUUCCUAGAAGCCAUGCUCUUGACAUAUCUCAGUUACAAGGGAAACAUUUUUGAGCAGAUUUUCCAAAUUUCCUUCAUCCUUGAGAUGAUCAAUACAGUGCCAUUCAUAAUUACGAUCUUUUGGCCCUCAUGGAGGAACAUAUUUGUCCCAGUAUUCCUGAACUGCUGGCUUGCCAAGUCGGCACUGGAGAACAUGAUCAAUGAUCUUCACCGUGCCAUCCAGCGCACACACUCUGCCAUGUUUAACCAGGUGCUCAUCCUCAUCUGCACGCUGCUUUGCCUGGUCUUCACCGGAGCCUGUGGGAUUCAACACCUAGAGCGAGCAGGGAAGAAUCUUUCCCUGUUUGAUUCGCUCUAUUUCUGCAUCGUCACCUUCUCAACUGUGGGCUAUGGAGACGUCACACCGAAGAUCUGGCCCUCUCAGCUACUGGUGGUCAUAAUGAUAUGUGUGGCUCUUGUAGUACUGCCAUUACAAUUUGAGGAGCUAGCGUACCUGUGGAUGGAGAGGCAGAAAUCAGGCGGUAACUACAGCAGACAUCGAGCUCAGACUGAAAAACAUGUGGUGCUUUGUGUCAGUUCACUCAAAAUCGACCUCCUCAUGGACUUCCUCAAUGAGUUUUAUGCGCAUCCCAGACUACAGGAUUACUACGUGGUCAUCCUCUGCCCCACAGAGAUAGACAUCCAAGUGAGGCGAGUGCUGCAGAUUCCUCUGUGGUCUCAGAGAGUCAUCUACCUGCAGGGCUCUGCACUGAAGGACCAGGAUCUCAUGAGAGCCAAGAUGGAUGAUGCAGAAGCCUGCUUUAUCCUCAGCAGCAGGAAUGAAGUGGACCGCACUGCAGCUGACCAUCAGACUAUCCUAAGAGCCUGGGCAGUGAAGGACUUCGCCCCAAACUGUCCUCUCUACGUACAGAUCCUUAAACCUGAAAAUAAAUUCCAUGUGAAGUUUGCUGAUCACGUGGUGUGUGAAGAGGAGUUCAAGUAUGCCAUGCUGGCUCUGAACUGUGUGUGUCCAGCCACGUCUACACUGGUUACACUUCUGGUCCAUACUUCACGUGGACAAGAGGGACAGACGUCUCCAGAGCAGUGGCAGAGAACAUACGGACGCUGCUCGGGUAAUGAAGUUUACCACAUCCGCCUCAUGGACAGCAAAUUUUUUGGAGAGUACGAUGGGAAAAGUUUUACUUACGCCUCUUUUCAUGCGCAUAAAAAAUAUGGAGUUUGCCUAAUUGGCGUAAAGAGAGAAGAGAAUAAAAGCAUCCUGCUCAACCCUGGGCCCCGCCACAUCAUGGCCGCCACAGACACCUGCUACUACAUCAACAUCACCAAAGAGGAGAACUCCGCCUUCAUCUUUAAACAGGAAGAGAAGCACAGCAAGGGCCUGCUAGUCAGCGGUCUGUAUGACGCCCCCUCUCGGCUCCCCGUGCAGAGCAUCAUAGCCAGCAUGGGCACUGUGGCCAUAGAUCUGCAGAACCCUGAGCCCGCAGGUGACAGCAGCAAACUGGCACUGCCCACAGAGAACGGAGCAGGCAGCCGGCGGCCCAGCAUCGCCCCUGUACUGGAGCUGGCUGACUCCACUGCCAUCCUGCCCUGUGACCUCCUGAGUGACCCCUCCGAGGACGAGACCAACCAAUCAGACGAGGAAGGAGUGCCUGCCCCAGAAUAUGUCAAAGGAUAUCCUCCAAACUCACCAUACAUCGGGAGUUCACCAACACUGUGCCACCUCCUACAAGAGAAAGCUCCAUUUUGCUGUCUGCGACUAGACAAGGGUUGCCGCCAUAACAGUUUUGAAGACGCCAAGGCAUACGGUUUCAAGAACAAGCUGAUCAUUGUCUCUGCUGAAACGGCUGGAAACGGCUUGUACAAUUUCAUCGUUCCACUGCGUGCUUAUUACAGACCCAGGAAGGAGCUCAACCCCAUCGUGCUGCUAUUAGACAAUCCGCCAGAUAAUCAUUUUCUGGAGGCCAUCUGCUGUUUCCCCAUGGUGUACUUUAUGGCCGGCACCAUAGACAAUUUGGAUAAUCUGCUGCAGUGUGGGAUUAUUUACGCUGAUAACCUAGUAGUGGUGGAUAAGGAAAGCACUAUGAGCGCAGAGGAGGACUACAUGGCUGAUGCUAAAACUAUUGUCAACGUUCAGACCAUGUUUAGGUUGUUUCCAAGUCUCAGUAUUAUCACUGAACUAACUCAUCCCUCUAAUAUGAGGUUCAUGCAGUUUCGAGCCAAAGACUGCUACUCCCUGGCUCUCUCCAAAUUAGAGAAGAUCGAGAGAGAUAAGGGCUCUAAUCUUGCAUUCAUGUUCCGCCUCCCGUUUGCUGCAGGCAGGGUGUUUAGUAUCAGUAUGCUGGAUACACUCCUCUACCAGUCUUUUGUUAAGGACUACAUGAUUCCUAUUGCUAGACUCUUGCUUGGGCUAGACACUACCCCAGGCUCCGGCUACCUCUGUAUGAUGAAGGUAACAGAGGAAGACCUAUGGAUCCGGACAUAUGGAAGGCUUUUUCAGAAGCUCUGUUCCUCCAGCGCUGAAAUCCCCAUCGGCUUGUACCGCACCGAGUCCCACAUGUUCUCAUCGUCAGAGUCUCAGGUGUCUGUAAACGUGGACGAGUGUGAGGACCCACGGGACCGGCGCGAGUCCUGGAAAGAGAAAACGGCCCAUAGGCACUCGACAGGCAGCGACCAAUCAGAACAUCCACUGCUAAGGAAGAAGAGCAUGCAGUGGGCACGGAGGCUAAGCAGGAAGAGCACAAAGCCCCCGAGCCGUGCUGAACGCAUCAACCAACAGCGCCUCAACCUCUACAGACGCUCAGAGAGACAGGAGCUCUCCGAACUGGUGAAGAACCGCAUGAAGCACCUGGGUCUGCCCACCAUCGGCUACGAGGACGUAGCUAAUUUAACUGCGAGUGAUGUGAUGAACCGAGUAAAUCUCGGAUAUUUGCAAGAUGAAAUGAAUGAUCAUCAGAACACACUGUCCUACGUGCUGAUCAACCCUCCUCCAGACACUGUUCUGGAGCUCAAUGAUAUUGUGUAUAUCAUCCGGUCAGACCCGUUGGCCCACGUACCCGACGAGUUGCCCGCGUGCCAGGCAGGCGCCAGGCUGAAGCAGGAAUACGGCACAGAGACACGAGGAGAGACUCAUCUCUGAAAACCAGAGCUCAGCUUGGAGCGCUGCAUGAAGAGUGCCUCCUGUUCCCCAUACACACAGUCACAACCCAUGAAGCACGCUGCCUUCCAAGGAUACGGGGGGGGGGGGGGCGCAGGACGGGGUAACUACACCAUCACCAACAACUUCCCCUGCGUUUACUUUUUCUAUGACAGAAGUGGAAUCUGUGUGCACGUUGCAGCAAAAUGGCUGCUGCACCUUUCGCAGUUUAGACAAGAUUACAAGACGGGGAGAUUUCAUGUUCUGGACCAAACACUGUUCAAACCCUUUUUUCCCCCCUUCUGACAGUGUAUGCUAAAAAAGAAGAAUGCAGUAUUUAGCUGAGUGAAAGGAAGAGAAACAGAUCAUGACUGCCAUUUAAUGAGCUGAGAUUUUAAGAAGACGUUAACAAUCAUGCAUCCUGAAGAUCAAAUGGAUAUCUGUCGAGCCAUAUUUCCCAACCUGUUCAUCUCAGGUGACUGAGGAGAAGCAGUCGAGCUAGCAGAAGGGAGAUUGAUUCAAAGCGAAUAGCAGAACUAUCACCGUAGCCCUCAAAACCUGUUAGCCAUAUCGAGAGAAUCUUUGUGCCAUCAUUUUUGGCCAGUCAUGCUUGUAGUCUGUUUCAAGGCAAGCCAUCGGGUGUUUUUUGAGCGAAGGGUGGAGAAGAGCACAAGCUCGGUUUGUCCGCAUGUUUACACGGUCCUUCACUGUCUGGAAGCCUACAGCAGAUAGUCGAUGCUUCUUAUCCAAUAGGUCCCACCAUGAUCAUGCUCAUGACUACCUUAAAGUUGUUAGAGAAGCGGAUUACCUUAAAGUGGACUGCCCAAUCAAGGUUUAUUUCCUUUUCUUCUUCUUGUCAUUUGUAAAAGCAUAUCGUGCAUGUUGGCAUAAUCUGCAAUCUUCCUUUUGAAAGUUGCACACGCGCCAUUUCUUUACCAAACCACUGAUCACCUUCAGCUAUUUCGAUUUCAAGGUAUGUAGAGUCGUGUGAGCAUUUCAAUAGAGGUAGAAGACAAAUGGACAAUGCAUGUCCUUUUAUUGCCAAACUUACAAGAGACCUAUGUUUACAUUUGCUGGCUCCUGUUUUAUUUGUGUAGAACAGUACAUUGUAAAGGAGAACUGAUCCAUUUUGUACAAUUUCUUAUAUGAAGUCUGUGUACUUCUAACAUGUACGAAUGAUUCAAUAAAUGCUGCAUGC